rnacentral:lncRNA from 1 species
CCUGUGUAUGCUCUGGAAUCUGCUCGUUAUUAUAUGAGGCAGCCCAGCUCAUUUCUUUGCGCGCCCACUCCUCUCCUCUCUGCUCUAAGUAACCUAGCACAUUGAGAAGAACAGCUCAAAUAGCUACUUUGAACACGAUUUUGAGCGUUUUAAAGGCCAAUUCAAAAGAUGUUUUAGUUCAGUAAAAGAUAGAACAAGGUCAGAUCUGUCCAUUUUUGUAGGUAUCGUUCACAUGCAUGAUGUUUUUGGUCUGUUAAUCGAAUAAACCGAACCAAUAUAUUUUGAUUAUUAUGGUUCGCUUGCUAAUUUUUGUGUGAUUAUUUCGGUGGCCAUUUCAAUGAAAUCAAAUUAUAAAAAACCGAAUAAACCGAAUCGUAUUAACCAUAUUAACCGAACUUCGAGCCCUACUAGCGGUAUCAUCAUUUACAAUAGUACAUCAAUAUAAAAAAUAUUCACAAUAUUACACGGUGCUAUUUAUACCUUAGCUUCAAUAUGAAUGUCGUUCUGCAUAAAAUUAAGCAUCACAAAAGUUCAAAAAAGUAUCCGUCAGCAUGAACAUAUCACCGGCAAUAUAUCGACGGAGUCAACCUAUUAUCACAUGAACAUAAAUAUUAGCCACGGAUUUUUUUUCUAUCAACUGCAUCAAAAUAGCACUUGCAUGAACAUGGUCAUCAC